rnacentral:lncRNA from 1 species
GCAAAUAUGGGAGUUGACAAGUCUGAAAUUGUAGGACAGGCCAGCAGGCUAGAAAUUCCAGCAGAAGUCAAUGCUUCAGUCUUAAGUCUAAAGGCAAUCUAGAUGCAAAACUCUUUCCUUAUCAUGAGACCUCUGUCUUUUUUCUUAAGGCCUUCAAUUGUUUGGCUGAAGCCCAUCCACAUAUAGACCUUGAGUUUGACCAGAACCAUAGUCUACCCAUAAAAUUAACCGUCAGAGGGACUGUUUGCUACCAUGGCACUAGCCUGUCACUUUUGACUAAUACUUGCUCCUUUGCCUCCUCCCCUCCAAAGAGAAUGGAGUUUAGCCUCAGUAGAACUGUCAUUAUGAGGAUUCUGCUUUUUAAAGUAUUAAUUUAGUUCUUCCUUAAAAGUAUGAGUUUUCAUUUGUCCUCACCCAAGGAACUCUGGAAGGAUGCUGGAGAAUCACAGGACACACUCUCAGCAGGAGACAGAUAUAUAGAUGUCAGUUGAUUCUGGUCACAAAAUCCAAGUGCCCUCUAAAAACAGUAAACCGACAUCCCAAAUGAUAAAUAAUCAGCCCAAGAGCCUUCUGCAAAAGAACACUUGGUCCAUAAAUGGGUUAAUGAUGAUUCAGGUUCUCAGGAGAGUGCUAAUUAAAUAGUCAUAGAAAGGAUGUUCAAAAUGAUCUCACCGGGCUGUGGUUGCCAUGGAAACCCAUUUCCCUUAUUUGUGUUUCUCUUCCCCCUCCCCAAAUUACUAAUAGUAAUAAUUUGGUCAGUUAUUAAAAAAGACAAGGUAUGGGCCAUGUGAACCCAGGCAAGAAAUGAAAAGCGAAAGUGAGAGAAAGGAGUGUUAAAUAGAAAAAUGGAUGCAUCACUGAAACAGUUUCAAUUAGGUAGUAGGUUAAUUCCUUCUCUUGGAUGGGAAUGUUUGGUUGUUUGAUGUUGCAGAGAAAGUGCAGGAAAUGCUCACAAUUCAAGAAAGGAGGUCUUAUUUUUUUUAAGGCUAAGGUCUCAGCUGGGUAUGCUGGCUCAUGCCUGUAAUCCCAGCACCUUGGGAGGCUGAGGAGGGCAGAUUGCUUGAGCCCAGGAGUUCGAGAACAGCCUGGGCAACAUGGCAAAACCCCAUCUCUACAGAAAUUAGCUGGGCAUGGUGAUGUGCACCUGUAGUCCCAGCUACUCAAGAAGUUGAGACAGGAGGUUCACUUGGGCCCAGGAGAUCGAGGCUGGAGUGAGCCAUGAUUGCACCGCAGCACUCCAGCCUGGGCAACAGAGCAAGACCUUGUCUGAAGAGGAAAAAAAAAAAAAAAAGACGACUAACCCUUCAAAAUAAACCUUCCUCAUGAAAGAUUCAUACAUCUAUUUGAAUGCAUAAAACUCACUUAUGCCCACAAAUCAUACACACAACCUUAUCCAUGACCAUGCCCUCCUGAAUUUCAUAUCAGCACACCACUAUCUAAUUGUGUCUUUCUUGAUGUCAGCAUGUAUGAUUUGGAUAGUAAGCUUCUAGCCUAAUGGGUCUUAGAUAUUUGAGGCAAAUAGACUCCCUUGAGAAUUUCAGAAAAUCAGCCAUCUCCUCAAAAAAUGCACAUGGGCACAUGCAUAUAGAAGUCGAUCUCAUGGGGUUCAUGGGCCUCCUGAAAUCGAUUCAGUGACUCCAAGUUGAAAAUCAGUGUCUUAAAGGAAAUAAAUUGUGUAGAUUUACAGAUGUUAGACUGAUGUGGGAUGGGAGAUAAUUGUAUUUUCUGGUGAAUGGCUUUCACCUUGUUCUGAAACAACUUUCCUACCUUAAUAAACACAUUAGUUAUUUUUCUUGGGUGAUGGUGGUGGUAACGAGUUCAGACUCUAAAUGCACUUAGUAGGAACAUUAGUGGGAGUAUUUUUACUAAGGUUCCAAAUGACAGUAGAUGAUGUAGGUGUAUACGGUUGGGCUGUAGAUGAUCUCAGCCUGGUAGAGAUGAACUCCAGGAGCUGUAACCACAAAAUUCCCUAAUCUUUCCUCUACUCCCCACAAUGUAUCUUUUUCUCCUUAAGGUACAUUACAGAGACAAACUUUGCUUAAUUGAGUUGCGUAUUUUCAUAGAUCUCUUAGGACAAUGUUAGAGUGACAUAAACAAUGUGUAAUAACGUUUCCUCAGGGGAAGAGAAAUGACUAGUAUUUAUUAAGCCUCCACUUUGCAGGAGGCACCUAUCUCAUCCUCAGCCUCAGAAUUACGUUGCAUUUUUCCCAUUUUAUAGAUUAAGAAACUGGACUUCUGAAAAGUGAAGUAACUCAUUCCAACUCACUUGACUGAUAAGAGCGAGGAGUGGUAUUUGAACGGAGGUGUUCCUGGGUGCCAUUCUGAGGUGCCAUCACACCACACUCCCUUCGGAAAAUGAGAAGCUUCCUCUGCCAAAGCCGUCUCAUUAGGAUACACUGAAGUCUUGAGGUGAGAGAGAUAUAGAGAAGGGUGAUCUUUGUCUUGCUGAGUUCUGCCAUGGGCAGCAAUUGAGGUCCCCUGGCCAUGUGGAUUAAACUCUAAAGUUCUCCCCAGAUGGGGUGUGGUGGCUUACACCUGUAAUCUCAGCACUUUGGGAGGCCAAGGCGGAGGAUUACUUGAAGCCAGGAGUUCAAGACCAGCCUGGGCAACAUAGCAAAACCCUGUCUCUAAAAAAAAAAAAAAAAAAAAUUAGCCAGGCAUGGUGGCAUGUGCCUGUAGUCCUAGCUACUCCGGAGGUUGGGGUGGGAGGAACGCUUGAGCCCAGGAGUUUGAGCUAUGAUUGUGCCGCUGCAAGUUAGCCUGGGCAACAGAGCAAGACCUUCUCUCAAAACAAAACAAAACAUAAAAGGUAUUUCCAGCUAAUUGGUAGUAACAUUAUCCACAACCGCUCAGAAUACGUUUGGAGAUUUUCUAUAUUUUAAAGAGCUAUAACUUAAUUUAUUUAACACGUAUUUUAAACAUAAUUUCCCCUUAUUAUAAAAGUUAUAUUUGUUCAAUUUUUAAAUUAGCUGCCAACAUAUAAAAUUGAGUAUUUUAUAGAACAUAGUCAAAUUUCAGGUUUCUGUCUAAAACUUAGAAUUCUAGAACUAACCCAGACUUCAUUCCCUCAACAAAUACAUGACCCAGAGCUAGUGCCAUCACUCCCUACUACCUCUUAGAUGUAGUUCACAUCUCUCAUUCAUAUUGUCUGCUGGAAAUUACAAGAAUUUGAAUCCUUACAGUUUGAGGGUCACAAUUCUUGAUUAUCAGCCUGAUCUUUUUAAAAAAUAAAUAUUCAAGUUACUUGAUCAGUAAAAAGAGACAUUUGGAAAUUUCAGUUAUACGCAGGAAAAAAAAAAAACAGUUAUUUUAUACUUAUCCAUCCCUGAUUUUCUCUCUUGUUUAGCCCAGAAGAAAGUAAAGAAGGCUGCUCCUAGUAUUCAUAAAGUUAAAUGUAAGCAAUUAUAUUUUGCCUUACAAAAUAUACCUAAUACAUUGUAAUGGAUUGAAUCAUUAAAAUAUGUAUAAAGUCAUAGAAAAAAGAUGAGAAAAUAGACACACAUCCCACUUUUGCUUUAAGUUAGGUCAUUCCUAAAAGAUGCUGCAGGGCUGAGGACAAGUUUCUGCUUUAGGCAACUCUGUAUCACCUGAGUUGGGAGGAUCACUUGAAGCCAAGAGUUCAAGACCAGCCUGGGUAAGAUAGCAAGAUCCUGUCUCCAAAAAAAUUAAAAUAAAUCAACUUAAAAAAUUAAAAAUUAGCCAUGCAUGGUGUUUUUUGGGAGGCUGAGGUGGGAGGAUCACUUGAGCCCAGGAGUUCAUGGCUGCAGUGAGCCAUGAUCAAAGAACUUUAGCAAUUUCUUAAAAUGUUAAUGAAAAAAAGUUAAAAGAGGGCAAAAGAGAAGUAUCCAGACACUGUGUCAUCUCUGAAAUCAACCAAGAACAACAACAAAGAAAAACAAAAGAAGAAUCUGCUUCUGUGAAAUUAUAACUCAGAUGACGGUCACCAGGUACUUGGAAGAGAAGGAGGAGGUGGGAGGA